rnacentral:rRNA from 1 species
ACUUAGUGGCAGACGGGUGAGUAACAUGUGGGUAUCUGCCCUUUGGCCUGGAAUAACACGAGGAAACUUGUGCUAAUACCGGAUAAGUCCUUACGGAGAAAGCUUUAUGCACCAUUGGAUGAGCCCGCAUUUGAUUAGUCUGUUGGUGAGGUAAUGGCUCACCAAGACUACAAUCAAUAGCUGAUUUGAGAGGAUGAUCAGCCACACUGGGACUGAGAUACGACCCAGACUCC